GGCCGCAGUAACUGACUGUGCUAAGGUAGCAAAAUCAUUAGCCUUUUAAUUGAAGGCCAGUAUAAAAGAUUUGACAUAGAGCUUUCUGUCUCAAGACUAAUAAAUAUAAUUUUAUAUUAGGGUAAAAAAGCCUUAAAAUACUAAAAGGACGAUAAGACCCUAAAAUCUGCUUUAAUCAAUAAUUUGUGUUUAAGAUAAGACAUUAUUUGACAUUAGCAUACUGGGGCGGUAAUUAUUACUUUAAACUAUAAUGUACUUAACACAUUGCGUGAUUUAUUAUAACCUUAAUGAAUAAAAUAAGAUACUUUAGGGAUAACAGCAUAAUAUAUUUUUAUAGUCCUUAUUGACAAAUAUGUUUAUGACCUCGAUGUUGAAUUGAAUAACCUGUACUUAGAAGAAUAAAUGCAAGUAAGUCUGUUCGACUUUUAAUAAUUCACAUGAUUUGAGUUCAACCGGCG
rnacentral:rRNA from 1 species